GUCUUGGGCAAAUUGGGGGGCGGAGGGGGUGGCGAAGAGAGCAGAACAUAUGCUUCCUGAAAGGUGGUGACACUAACACCGAGUCCCCGGGGCAGCAGCAGCCCCUGGGUCUCUGUCUGUCUUGUCCCCCCAGCAAAGGGCUGGAGUCAGCCGCUGCGGCCAGCUACCCUAUGUUUCUGUCCUCAGAGUGGAAGGACAGCUGGUGAGCCCCGGUGUCCGGGAGGGGACCGCGGAGAGGCCCAGCCGGCAUCCGCAGUGAACGCAGGACCCCGUUCCUGCCCUUCGGGCACACGUUUCGUGUGCCAGGCCUUGACCACACCUGGCAGCCCUGGGCUGUUCUUCAUUUUCUGCCCUCUUGGCUCCGCCUGGCUUGGAACCUUCCCGGGGCAGCAUCCUGGGGACACAUCCGGGCUGGGGGAGGCAGCUGAGCGGCCCCAGGUCUGGGAACCUGUGCACCACCCGAGCCCCAUCCCUUCAGGGGUCCUGUGAGCACCGGAGCAGGAGCUGGGGGGCACAGAGUAGCCACCUACCAAUCAGCCCUGGGAUGCCCCUGCGCUGCCCUGUUUAUCCGUGUGUCUGUCCAUCUUUCCUUGGAAGACUGUUUACGGAGAGACUACUCUAUCCCAGGCCUGCUACUCCAGAGUGCCCGAAACGCCGGGAGAAGCGGGGAAAAACGUGCCCCCUGAAGACGCAGGAAGCUGUUAUGGAAGGAGUAUAGUUCCAAGAGAGUCGGAGACGUCCACGUUCAGCCCUCAGCUCUGCCGCAUUUGCCGUCUCAGGGGCUCAGCUCCCUGGGCUGGGGGCGACCGGUCCCUCCUGCAGGGCAUCCUGAGGAGACAGGGUGAUGGCAGACGUUCGCAGAGGACCCGGCACAUAGCAGUUUCAGGCUUUUAUUUUUCCAUUUCUACGGUCUGUUACAGAAUCUGCUCAGUGAGGAAGGGAAGAGAAACCGAGUCGGUCGGGCCUCCUCCUUGGAACCUUUGGGAGGCCAGCUGGCUGGAGGGAAGCGGCCUUAGGUUGCGGGCGAUGCCGGGGCCCCAGCGGCUCCAAGAGCAGGCAGGACCCUGUUCUCGGAGAAGUUCACGUUCCGCUGCGAAGCUCAGCUGCCAGGUCCACCGAAUGUGCGUACGUUAGAAGUCGCACAAGAACCCGGAGCAGACAACGCGCGUGGGAGAAAACUCAGCCCCGGACCCCCAAACCCACCCCGCAUUGAUGAGCCAGUUGGCGCCCAGAAGCUCCCGGGAGAUGAAGCUUGAAUCGUGUGAGAAUCCAGGCGUGGGGUCAAGUCUGAGCUCCGCCGCCUGGGUGACUUCAGUGAAUCACUUCUGCCUCAGUUUCCCCAAAGUUGGAGAGAGUGGUGGCGGUGAAUAACGGCCCUGGCCUCCCAGGGCCACGGAGGGCAGGAGAUCCGCUGCGGGGUCUGCCCCCUCCACCCCCACCCCGGUCCCCGCAACUCUCACCGAGGACAACUUCCUCCAGCGGGGAAAGCAAGCGGCCUGGGCGGCAGAGAGACCAGAACCCCCACCCCCGCCCGUGC